GUGCUCCAUGGUGCCCGGGCACCAUUGUUGAAAUUGAGUAUAUAUCCAAUUCAAAUGAGUAUGAAACUUUUUCAAAUAUUUAGAUAUUAACAUUAACUACUUUACUAACUAGUUCAAAGCAAGUUUGAACUGAAUUUGAACUUGUUUUUGUUAGAUUUUGAUUCUAGGUAUAUAGCAUCCAAACAUAUAAUUAGUUAGGUAUGUAAUCAUGGAUUGUGAGAUAAAGUUAAAUUUGAGUUGUUUUGUUGUUAGGUGUAGGUAUAAAUCGAAUUCUUAUAACUAGGUAUAUACUCAUAAUUUGAAAAUUUUGAAAUAUUUGAAUGAUUUUGUGCAUUUGAUACCAUGGUGCCCGGGAGUAACCCUUCCCUUAACGGAUCGAUUUAACGGAAUAACCCUGAAUCUACUAAACUUCUGCAGACCGGGUUGUUUAAUUAAGUAAUUAACUAAAUAGUUUAUUAGUUCAAAUAAAUGCUAAAUCAUCGGCUGCAUGCAAAACAUUCGGUUGGAGUUUGUUCCUAUGUGCUCGCCUUGGCAGAAUAUGCUCUGCUUCUAACCGUCAGAAGAUAUGUAGCUGGCCAAUUGAAAAAAAUGGCAGAACAUCAGAAAAAGAAAAUGGCAGAACAUCAUCGAAAAAACAAAUUGUUGGCAGAACAAAUACCAAUUUUUUCUCUAUGUAACGGCAGUUCAUAUUCUGCCUAUUGAUUACUAAUUGCAGUUUAUGUUUACAUACUUAAAUAGGUAUGUUAUAUUUUGCUCAGGAUAGUUUCUGUUGGUAUGGAUGUACAACACAGCCGAGUUGAGGGAUGAUACUCUUUUUAAUCACAACGGCAUAACAGAAUUUGUGCAGCAGAAAGCUAUAAUCCCCCUCCUGAAUCAAUGGAUGGUAGAGAUAACAGAAUAUCUUCUGCUCUUUCACAAACCGAUUCCAUUCACUAUUAGACAUAGGACUCGGCAGAAACAAUUGCAGAACAUCUUUUGCUCCCCGGCCCAUAAUUUGUGACGUCUGUUGUGUCCAUUCAGGUCAUUUCAAAUUUGUAAGAACGCAUAGAACAAGGAAUAAAAAGUGCAGAAUACCUUCUGCCUGUUAAAUUGAAUCUCAUCGUCUAUAUGAAGCUUAUAAGACUUGAAAAUGAGCAGAAACAUGAAAGGAAGCAGUAUGGAGUAUGUGACCUAGGAAAGGAGGCAAGGAGCAGAACAUCGGUUAGAAAGGGAGCAGAAAACUAAUUUGAACAGAAGCACAUCUUCUGCUCCUUCAACAAAAUCGUCACUAAGCAGAAGACGUUAAGAAAGGCAGGAAAUUAAAAAGAAGCAGAAAAAUAUCAACUGGAAAGGAGCAUAACAUUAUUUGUAAACGGAACAGAACAUCGAUUGGAAAGGAGCAGAACAUUAUUUGGAAACGGAACAGAACAUCAAUGGGAGAAAAAAUGGUUUCUGCCAAUCGUAGUGUCCAUAUUCUGCUCCUCUGGCGGAUGAACUAACAUGCAUUCAAAAUUGUUUGUAUCCCAUGAAAAUAAUGGUUAUCAUUCUAAACGGGUUGGAUGACAUGGCUAAUUAACACGCCAAUGGGGACUCCGAAAUAGCAGAAAUUUGCACUGCCACAUAGAUAAGAUGGGAGUAGUUGCUCCCGGUAGUAGUACAUACAUACAUACAUAUAUAUAUACAUACAUACAUACAUAUAUACAUACAUAUAUAUAUAUAUAUAUAUAUAUAUAUAAAAUAGAAAAUAACUAUUUACGCCUUUACCUCUAGUUUAAAAAUGUAUAACAUAAUAAAUAGUCAAUUUAUAAAUAGAAAGCUACCCAAGCAAUAUUUACAGUGUAUUAUGGUCAUUAGAUCUAUAACAAAUGUCACGCUCUAAUUUUUUUUUUAUGGAACUAUAGAUAUUCUAGGACUAUCUAUAUGAUGGAAUAAUUAAAACAUGCAUAUACUAUUACCUAUAGCAUUUUAGAACAUUUUUCAUAAAGAAAAUUAUGUUGAUGCUAAAUGUCAUUCACCUUUCAUACCAGUGGUAUAUAGAACAAUUGUAUGACAAGGAAAGUUUUUCCUUGGAUACACAUGCUAAUCCCAACAAGUUUAACAAGACCUAGUCAGACUGUCCUGAUCGGACGUGCUUCACUGUUGCCAUGAAAUUGAUGUCAAAAUUCCAUUCGAGCUGCUCGCAAUAUGACAAUCUACUUUGGGGAGUAAUUAAGUCUCGUCUGGCCAGCCCAUGUUAAGGCCAACAUCCCAUGCCUUAUAACUCAUAAAUAACCUACCGUCAUGAUAUGAUCAUAGCCACUAUUGAUGCAACCGUUGCUCACAUCAUAGCUCAACUGGGAGACAUCAAGAUCAAGCCACAUGAGUUUUGGAAUCUGAUUCGGCCACCUGCUACAUUGCUGACUUCAAACGGCCGCCAAAUAUGCAUACAACCUCUGUUUUCGGCCUGUGAUUACUUGAUGGAAAGAUCUCGGAGUCCUCUUUCCAAAGGAUCCAACCUCAUCUUAAAAUUCCAUCUUAGUCAUCCGCCCAAGGUAUUGUGUCAUCUAUAAUGGGCCUAUGAGCCCGUAACUUCGUCUUGGACCCUAGCCUAAGUGGGACCCAUAUGGGGUGCGCCCCAAUCUGGUGGAGCAUGACCUUAGAGACCCCUUGGUCAUCAUCCCAACUCCUUAAAUAGCCUCCUUAAAUAGCUAGGUACCUGUUAGUAUUUCUUAACGACAUUACUAGAAAUAUAAUUCCCAGCAAUGACGCAAAAAUACUCCUGGUUUAUUAUGGUUACAGAGUUCAUCCGCAAGCGCACGGAUAUAACAUUGUAGCAUUUCACCCGAGAGUAUUCCAAUGGUAUCGUAUUUAUUUUAUCCCGUGGAAAGAUCAUAUAGAGAGAACAUUGACUAAUAAUUUAUAUAUUACUUGUGAUAAUCAUAUUCUAAGCAGGGGUUAAGAUAAUCUAAGGGUAGAGUGACACACAAGCAUUAACUACUCAUUCUCAUAAUAUAUCAUCUAACCUAAGUGGAUAGAAAAGAGAAAGAUAAUCUAUUCCUAUACUUCUAAUAUACAUAGUAUACAUACAUUAUAGUUAACUGAUAUACUAGCUAAUACCCUCUAUUCGAUGCCUUCCUGGUACUUCGAGAAGCCAUCACUGACUGCCGAGUUCCUUACGACAGUCCGUCAUGACCAUACAACCCGGGCUAAAUACGGAGGAAUACCCUCCCCAGGGAAUUAACUUAGGAUUAUAUACCGGCGCGGAGGAAUACCCGUACUGAGCUGUCACCAUCAGCGGCCCACCUCUCAUCCGCAAUAUAUAACCCCAAAUAAUAAUAUCCCGUAAUCUAGACACCACGCCUAAACUACCAGAUACUACUCUAAUAUCAUUGUCAUGACAGAGUAAUUGCAUAAGUAAACAUUAUACCCGCACCAAAGCAUCUCCCAGAUAAGUUAGCUGUAUAUUCAGUAUAACAUGAACAUAAUAUAAAGUAGAUAUUCAUAUAUUCGGCAAGUAUUUUAAUACCAUAAAUAUAUAAAGAAGAGUAUUCUAAUAAAAGUACAAAGCUUACAAAAGAGAAGAGAAAAGCUACUAGAGUCAUACCCGAACUCUUCGGAAGGCUUCCGGACUCCUGAUUUCUACUCUAUUCCUAUUCCACCAGCUAGAUACUACUAAACUAAACUUGAGAGAAAUGAGAGAGCUAUUGCUUGAGGUGUGUGGGUGAAGUGAGAAGGUGAGGAAACUUGAGAGAAAUGAGAGAGCUAUUGCUUGAGGUGUGUGGGUGAAGUGAGAAGGUGAGGGGUUUAUAUAGCACCCCAAUGAUGUUUGUGACGGUUGGAAUGGUCAGAAAUACCCUCCAACCGUCAUUGAGAGCUAAUCCACACCGUCCAGAAGAAACCCUGCAUCCAGCGGCGAUGAGAGAAGUUUGGCCAAACUUGGGGCCGGCCCAACCAACCCAUGGUUCAGCUGGCGGCCUCCUCUGUUGUAGGGGUGGGCUUUCGGUCUAGACCGAAAAAUCGGCCAGGGUUGUUCGGGUUUUUAAAACUUCAGUCUUUGAAAACAAGAACCCGAUAUUUGCAACAAAAAAUUCAUGGACCGACAUUUCGGGUAACCGAAGUGUCGGGUCGGUCUUCAGUUUUACCCGAGCUGACCGAUUUAACAAGGUGCACAUCGAAGUAAAUAAGCAAAAGCAGAACAACCAAACAUGGGAAUGCAUCAAAAUUAUCAAUUACGUCCUGAAUAUACAAAUUCACAAAGAGAUUAAUCAAAAUCUCAAACAAAAAGUCAUAAAGUCAUAGAUUACAUUUCCCCAUUGACUAAAUCAAUAAACCAGAAACCCCAAGCCGGCAUCUGUUGCUUGCCUACCUCCGGCGCACCAGCUUGCUCAACCCUCCUCGUUCGCGGACGAUUGCUCAACCCCGCGCGGCCGCGCCUCCAAGGCGACCAACUGCGGGUGGCCGAGCCUAAGCCUGCGGCGUUUCUUGCCUCACCCCUCAGAUCCUCGGUUCAUGGCCUCAUGGGCACUGGGCAGUGGAGCAAUUGAAGCUUAGAAGGGAAGGGGAGAAGAGAAUGGAAGCUCAUGGGAAGAAGCGGAGGCGUGACUGCGGGAUGCAGUUUUCUCGUUUCCGUCGGCGGCGGAGUGAGAGCUUGCAGAGAUGCCGCAUCCGUGAUUUCUGUGUGGAGGGGAAUAUGGGGAUAAGUGAUAAGGUGUUUUUUUCUCUUUAAAGGAGGGUUAGCUUGUGGGCUGUACACACGCAAUAGACUAAUGGGCC
rnacentral:lncRNA from 1 species